GACGAACGCUGGCGGCGUGCUUAACACAUGCAAGUCGAACGGCAAGGCCCUGCUUUUGUGGGGUGCUCGAGUGGCGAACGGGUGAGUAACACGUGAGUAACCUGCCCUUGACUUUGGGAUAACUUCAGGCAACUGGGGCUAAUACCUGCUAGGAGCUCCUGCUGCAUGGUGGGGGUUGGAAAGUUUCGGCGGAUGGGGAUGGACUCGCGGGUUAUCAGCUUGUUGGUGGGGUAGUGGCUUACCAAGGCUUUGACGGGUAGCCGGCCUGAGAGGGUGACCGGCCACAUUGGGACUGAGAUACGGCCCAGACUCCUACGGGGGGCAGCAGGGGGGAAUAUUGCACAAUGGGCGGAAGCCUGAUGCAGCAACGCCGCGGUCGGGAUGACGGCCUGCGGGUUGAAAACCGCUUUCGCCUGUGACGAAGCGUGAGUGACGGUAAUGGGUAAAGAAGCACCGGCUAACUACGUG
rnacentral:rRNA from 1 species